CACGUAGGGCGCAAGCGUUGUCCGGAAUUAUUGGGCGUAAAGAGCUCGUAGGCGGUUUGUCGCGUCUGCUGUGAAAAUCCGAGGCUCAACCUCGGCCUGCAGUGGGUACGGGCAGACUAGAGUGCGGUAGGGGAGAUUGGAAUUCCUGGUGUAGCGGUGGAAUGCGCAGAUAUCAGGAGGACACCGAUGGCGAAGGCAGAUCUCUGGGCCGUAACUGACGCUGAGGAGCGAAAGCGUGGGGAGCGAACAGG
rnacentral:rRNA from 1 species